rnacentral:rRNA from 1 species
GAUGAACGCUGGCGGCGUGCCUAAUACAUGCAAGUCGAGCGAACGGACGAGAAGCUUGCUUUUCUGAUGUUAGCGGCGGACGGGUGAGUAACACGUGGAUAACCUACCUAUAAGACUGGGAUAACUUCGGGAAACCGGAGCUAAUACCGGAUAAUAUUUUGAACCGCAUGGUUCAAAAGUGGAAGACGGUCUUGCUGUCACUUAUAGAUGGAUCCGCGCUGCAUUAGCUAGUUGGUAAGGUAACGGCUUACCAAGGCAACGAUGCAUAGCCGACCUGAGAGGGUGAUCGGCCACACUGGAACUGAGACACGGUCCAGACUCCUACGGGAGGCAGCAGUAGGGAAUCUUCCGCAAUGGGCGAAAGCAUGACGGAGCAACGCCGCGUGAGUGAUGAAGGUCUUCGGAUCGUAAAACUCUGUUAUUAGGGAAGAACAUAUGUGUAAGUAACUGUGCACAUCUUGACGGUACCUAAUCAGAAAGCCACGGCUAACUACGUG